UGUGGGAUGGUAAAGAUGGGACUUGUCUUAAGACUGUUAAUAAUCUUGGAAAUGGAAUGCAUUAUGGAAUAAAGCUGUAGGUGUGGAGUCUAUCAUUGGUAAGCUUCAUUGAGAGGAAGGUUCUGCUGCUCCUGAUUUUAAGUCUCAUUUCACUGGCUCUCUCUCUGACUCAUGGCAGUCCCCAGCCACUCCUUGUUCCCUUAUUGACUCAGUUGUCAGUUAUCAUAUUCCUGGGAAUUCCCAACCAUUGCAAUCAUUACAUGCUCAAUGGGACAUGGCCACAAAUUGCCAAAUUGAAACCUGCCAAUCAA